AAGAAACCUAAAAAGCUGCUGUCUUUGCAAUCCUUUUUUACUAAUGUCUAUAUAGAUCAAGAGGCCGGUGGGCCUUGAGUGAACCUUAAUUUCAGUAGUGAAAGGAAAAUGACCACAAAACCAAAGAAAGGAUGGAAAUCAAUUUCGUCUCUCAAUUUGAAGACCAAAUCAGCAGCACAUUUUUGUUUGCUCCCCAAAUCAAAGUCGGAUCGAUAUGGUCCUGGCGACACACCUGUUUAUCUCAACGUGUAUGACUUGACUCCUAUGAACGGCUAUGUAUAUUGGGUUGGCCUUGGUAUUUUUCAUUCUGGUGUGGAAGUUCAUGGUGUAGAAUAUGCAUUUGGA
rnacentral:misc_RNA from 1 species